rnacentral:rRNA from 1 species
UACGGAGGGGGCUAGCGUUGUUCGGAAUUACUGGGCGCAAAGCGCACGUAGGCGGCUUUGCAAGUUAGAGGUGAAAGCCCGGGGCUCAACUCCGGAAUUGCCUUUAAAACUGCAUCGCUAGAAUUGUGGAGAGGUAAGUGGAAUUCCGAGUGUAGAGGUGAAAUUCGUAGAUAUUCGGAAGAACACCAGUGGCGAAGGCGGCUCUCUGGGACGGUACUGACGCUGAGACGCGAAAGCGUGGGGAGCGAACAGG